AUUGAACGCUGGCGGCAUGCCUUACACAUGCAAGUCGAACGGCAGCACGGGAGCAAUCCUGGUGGCGAGUGGCGAACGGGUGAGUAAUACAUCGGAACGUGCCCAAUCGUGGGGGAUAACGCAGCGAAAGCUGUGCUAAUACCGCAUACGAUCUACGGAUGAAAGCAGGGGAUCGCAAGACCUUGCGCGAAUGGAGCGGCCGAUGGCAGAUUAGGUAGUUGGUGAGGUAAAGGCUCACCAAGCCGUCGAUCUGUAGCUGGUCUGAGAGGACGACCAGCCACACUGGGACUGAGACACGGCCCAGACUCCUACGGGAGGCAGCAUUGGGGAAUUUUAGACUAUGUGCGAAUUCCCUGAUGCAGCC
rnacentral:rRNA from 1 species